rnacentral:rRNA from 1 species
UACGUAGGGUCCAAGCGUUAAUCGGAAUUACUGGGCGUAAAGCGUGCGCAGGUGGCCUGUUAAGCGCGAUGUGAAAUCCCCGAGCUCAACUUGGGAAUUGCAUUGUGAACUGGCAGGCUAGAGUAUGGCAGAGGGGGGUGGAAUUCCGCGUGUAGCAGUGAAAUGCGUAGAGAUGCGGAGGAACACCGAUGGCGAAGGCAACCCCCUGGGCUAAUACUGACACUCAUGCACGAAAGCGUGGGGAGCAAACAGG